rnacentral:rRNA from 1 species
GACGAACGCUGGCGGCGCGCUUAACACAUGCAAGCCGAACGGAAAGGCCUGCUUUCCCUUGUGGAUUGCGGGUACUCGAGUGGCGAACGGGUGAGUAACACGUGAGUGAUCUGCCCCCAACUUGUGUAUAAGCCUGGGAAACUGGGUCUAAUUCCCGAUAGGACUGCAGGGUGGUGCCUUUGGUGGAAAACGAUUUUCUAGUGGUUGGGGAUGAGCUCGCGGCCUAUCAGCUUGUUGGUGGGGUAAUGGCCUACCAAGGCGGCGACGGGUAGCCGGCCUGAGAGGGUGGACGGGCACAGUGGGACUGAGAUACGGCCCAGACUCCUACGGGAGGCAGCAGUGGGGAAGAUAGGACAAUGGGCGGAAGCCUGAUGCAGCGACGCCGCGUGGGGGAUGACGGGCUGCGGGUUGUAAACUCCUUUCGGCCGCGAGGAAGCCACCUGGUUGGAAGGGUGGUGACGGUAGUGGUAGAAGAAGCACCGGCUAACUACGUG